rnacentral:rRNA from 1 species
AUACGUAGGUCCCGAACGUUGCGCGAAAUUACUGGGCGUAAAGGGUCCGUAGGCGGUCUGGUAAGUGGAAGGUGAAAGCCUGGGGCUCAACUCCAGAAUUGCCUUCCAAACUGCCGGACUUGAGGCAGGGAGAGGUCGGCGGAAUUCCCGGUGUAGCGGUGAAAUGCGUAGAUACCGGGAGGAACACCAGUGGCGAAGGCGGCCGACUGGAACUGUCCUGACGCUGAGGGACGAAAGCCAGGGGAGCGAACCGGAUUAGAAACCCUAGUAGUCC